UAGGGAAUCUUCCGCAAUGGACGAAAGUCUGACGGAGCAACGCCGCGUGAGUGAAGAAGGAUUUCGGUUCGUAAAACUCUGUUGUUAGGGAAGAAAAAAUGUAUAGUAACUAUAUACAAAAGAGACGGUACCUAACCAGAAAGCCACGGCUAACUACGUGCCAGCAGCCGCGGUAAUACGUAGGUGGCAAGCGUUGUCCGGAAUUAUUGGGCGUAAAGCGCGCGCAGGUGGUUUAGAAAGUCUGAUGUGAAAGCCCACGGCUCAACCGUGGAGGGUCAUUGGAAACUAAUAAACUUGAGUGCAGGAGAGAAAAGUGGAAUUCCUAAUGUAGCGGUGAAAUGCGUAGAGAUUAGGAGGAACACCGGUGGCGAAAGCGGCUUUUUGGCCUGCAACUGACACUGAGGCGCGAAAGCGUGGGGAGCAAACAGG
rnacentral:rRNA from 1 species